rnacentral:rRNA from 1 species
CCCUUAGAUGUUCUGGGCGGCCCGCGCACUACAAUGGCGUGUGCAGCGAGUGCCGAAGUAGAGUUUUCCGAGGUAUUCUUGCAAUGCUCGUUUUGAUGGGGAUAGACCCUUGCAACUGUUGGUUUUGAACGAGGAAUUCCUUGUAAGCAUGGUUUAUCAUCCGACGCUGAAUGCGUCCCUGCCCUUUGUACACACCGCCCGUCGCUCCUACCGAUGAGUCGUCCGGUGAAGUUCGUAGACCUCGUGAUCGCGGAUCACUGGGGGAAGCAAGAUGAACCUCGCGGUUUAGAGGAAGGAGAAGUCGUAACA